rnacentral:rRNA from 1 species
CNUUCUCNUAAACUUNGNGUAGCGUAUAAGGUUAAUGUUUGUUUAAAAAAACAAAAAGUCGAUAGACACAGUUGAAACACCUUUCUUAGUUUUAUGUUAAUGUUCACCUAAUCAUGGUUAGGGAUAAAUGACUAAUUGGCAGUUUGUCUGGGGCGGACGUCUUUAAUAGAGUAUCAGAGACAUCCACAAGGUAUGUAUUAAAUUGGAUGGAGACCAAGAAAGCCAUGAACGGCACAAUAAGGUAUAAUGACUUAAGCAUGCUUAACUGAGAGACCUAUAAGUCAAACAGAUACNUAAGUAGGGCAUAAUGANCCGGCGG